GACGAACGCUGGCGGCGUGCCUAAUACAUGCAAGUAGAACGCUGAAGGAGAAGCUUGCUUCUCCGGAUGAGUUGCGAACGGGUGAGUAACGCGUAGGUAACCUGCCUGGUAGCGGGGGAUAACUAUUGGAAACGAUAGCUAAUACCGCAUAAGAGUAGAUGUUGCAUGACAUUUGCUUAAAAGGUGCAAUUGCAUCACUACCAGAUGGACCUGCUUUGUAUUAGCUAGUUGGUGAGGUAACGGCUCACCAAGGCAACGAUACAUAGCCGACCUGAGAGGGUGAUCGGCCACACUGGGACUGAGACACGGCCCAGACUCCUACGGGAGGCAGCAGUAGGGAAUCUUCGGCAAUGGACGGAAGUCUGACCGAGCAACGCCGCGUGAGUGAAGAAGGUUUUCGGAUCGUAAAGCUCUGUUGUAAGAGAAGAACGAGUGUGAGAGUGGAAAGUUC
rnacentral:rRNA from 1 species